rnacentral:rRNA from 1 species
CAACUUUUAACAACGGAUCUCUUGGUUCUCGCAUCGAUGAAGAACGUAGCAAAGUGCGAUAACUAGUGUGAAUUGCAUAUUCAGUGAAUCAUCGAGUCUUUGAACGCAACUUGCGCUCAUUGGUAUUCCAAUGAGCACACCUGUUUCAGUAUCAAAA